rnacentral:rRNA from 1 species
CCUACGGGCGGCAGCAGUGGGGAAUAUUGCACAAUGGGGGAAACCCUGAUGCAGCGACGCCGCGUGAGUGAAGAAGUAACUCGUUAUGUAAAGCUCUAUCAGCAGGGAAGAAAAUGACGGUACCUGAGUAAGAAGCCCCGGCUAACUACGUGCCAGCAGCCGCGGUAAUACGUAGGGGGCAAGCGUUAUCCGGAUUUACUGGGUGUAAAGGGAGCGUAGACGGCAGUGCAAGUCUGGAGUGAAAGGCGGGGGCCCAACCCCCGGACUGCUCUGGAAACUGUACGGCUGGGGUGCAGGAGGGGAGAGUGAAAUUCCGGGUGUAGCGGUAAAGUGCG